GAGCUUUCUGACAAGCGGCAAGCUUGCUGACGGUACAGCGAAACAUUCCACGAGGGAGGUUGUUUUAACUUGUUUCCAGGCAACCACCACCUCCGGCGGAAGAACCUCACGAAGGCGCGGGGUAGCUGUAUUUUGAAAAAAUAAAAGAACCUGCAGUUUGUUUUCUUCCGCUACACUGACAAUAACUCUGACAGUAACUUGCUUGUACGAUUGAAGAGUGGCUCUUUUCACUGAAAUUACAUUGCGAUGGAUUUGAUUUCAGAACAGACGAGAGUCGGAUACAAAGAAAUCGCUGAACUGCUAGGAAAACUGACCGAAGAAACAAGCAAACUCGAGGCACACCAAAAGAAGAUGACCGAACACAAUCAUGCGCUCGGAAAUCUUAACAGAUCCUUCAACCAGGCCCAGACUCGCCUGGAGAGAGUGGCCGUAACGAAGUGCGGCAGUGAACUACUGAAACAGUAACCGCCCCGGACGACAGCUGCGCAGCACCGCUUCAUUCACUGAAAUACCGCUUUAUUUUUACUUUGAAACAUCAUGUGAACAAACACAAGCAUUUCAGUUAAUAAUUACUGAAUCUUUUUUGUUAUAAGUAAAAAAAAAAAAACAACACAUUUUUUAUCACGUUAUGUUUGUGUACAAUAUACUUUUCGUAGUGAUGUAAUUUCAGAUUCACUUGUUGUCUGGUUUAGGCAAGUAUUUAUUUAUUUUUCUUUGAUUUAUUCAGGUGUGUCUGGAGUGUUCGGUAAAUGUGGAAAUAAAAACUUUUUAAAAGA